AUUGAACGCUGGCGGCAUGCCUUACACAUGCAAGUCGAACGGCAGCGGGGACUUCGGUCCGCCGGCGAGUGGCGAACGGGUGAGUAAUGUAUCGGAACGUACCAUUGAGUGGGGGAUAACGUAGCGAAAGUUACGCUAAUACCGCAUAUUCUCUCCGGAGGAAAGCAGGGGACCGCAAGGCCUUGCGCUCUUUGAGCGGCCGAUAUCAGAUUAGCUAGUUGGUGGGGUAAAAGCUCACCAAGGCGACGAUCUGUAGCGGGUCUGAGAGGAUGAUCCGCCACACUGGAACUGAGACACGGUCCAGACUCCUACGGGAGGCAGCAGUGGGGAAUUUUGGACAAUGGGGGCAACCCUGAUCCAGCCAUGCCGCGUGAGUGAAGAAGGCCUUCGGGUUGUAAAGCUCUUUCGGCCGGGAAAAAAUCGCAUGGGUUAAUACCCUGUGUGGAUGAUGGUACCGGAAUAAGAAGCACCGGCUAACUACGUGCCGGCCGCCGCAGUAAAAC
rnacentral:rRNA from 1 species